rnacentral:rRNA from 1 species
UAUGUGAUCGUCUCUCGCAUAUCAAUAAGCGGAGGAAAAGAAACUAACAAGGAUUCCCCUAGUAACGGCGAGUGAAGCGGGAAGAGCUCAAAUUUGAAAUCUUAAGGGUUUCCCUUUACGAAUUGUAGUUUAAAGAAGUGUUUUCUGUUGAGGUUUUGGUAAAAGUUCUUUGGAAUAGGGACAUCAUAGAGGGUGAGAAUCCCGUAUUUGACCUUUACUUUCAACCUUGUGAUACACUUUCAAAGAGUCGGAUUGUUUGGGAAUGCAGUCCAAAAUGGGUGGUAAAUUUCAUCUAAAGCUAAAUAUUGGCGAGAGACCGAUAGCGAACAAGUACCGUGAGGGAAAGAUGAAAAGAACUUUGAAAAGAGAGCUAAACAGUACGUGAAAUUGUCAAAAGGGAAGCGUUUGACACCAGUGUUGUUUUUCUGAAAAUCAAUUAAAGAACUGUUUAUGCUAAGUUGUUUAGACUUUAUCAGCUAAUCUGUUUAGUUUUGAGCUUUUCUUUAAUGCACUUUUCAGUUAACAAGUCAACAUCAAUUUCUUUUGCUGUAAAAAAGCUUGAGGAAGGUGGCUUGAGAUUCGUCUUAAGUGUUUAUAGCCUCUUGCCUAUGCAGUCGGAGAGAUUGAGGUCUGCAGCGUAGAUCCUUCGGGGCUAAAUGCAUUUGUGCUAAGUUAUAGCAUUUUAUAGACAACUUUGUUGACUAUGAUUUGUCUUGUAGCUUACUCGCUUAUGUUAUUUUACCUACGCUUAGGAUGUUGAUCUACAGAGCGAGAGU